GCCGUUAACGAACGAGACCUCGACCUGCUAACUAGUGCACUCCAGUGUUCGCACUGGAGUCGUUACGCACUUCUUAGAGGGACUAUCGGUGCGCAGCCGAUGGAAGUUCGAGGCAAUAACAGGUCUGUGAUGCCCUUAGAUGUUCUGGGCCGCACGCGCGCUACACUGAUCAAGUCAACGAGUUUACAACCUUGGCCGGAAGGUCUGGGUAAUCUUUUGAAACUUGAUCGUGCUGGGGAUAGUCCAUUGCAAUUAUUGGACUUCAACGAGGAAUUCCUAGUAAGCGUGAAUCAUCAGCUCGCGUUGAUUACGUCCCUGCCCUUUGUACACACCGCCCGUCGCUAUUACCGAUUGAAUGGAUG
rnacentral:rRNA from 1 species